rnacentral:rRNA from 1 species
AUUGAACGCUGGCGGCAUGCCUUACACAUGCAAGUCGAACGGUAACAGGUCUUCGGAUGCUGACGAGUGGCGAACGGGUGAGUAAUACAUCGGAACGUGCCUAGUAGUGGGGGAUAACUACUCGAAAGAGUGGCUAAUACCGCAUGAGAUCUACGGAUGAAAGCAGGGGAUCGCAAGACCUUGUGCUACUAGAGCGGCCAAUGGCAGAUUAGGUAGUUGGUGGGAUAAAAGCUUACCAAGCCGACGAUCUGUAGCUGGUCUGAGAGGACGAUCAGCCACACUGGGACUGAGACACGGCCCAGACUCCUACGGGAGGCAGCAGUGGGGAAUUUUGGACAAUGGACGAAAGCCUGAUCCAGCAAUGCCGCGUGCAGGAUGAAGGCCUUCGGGUUGUAAACUGCUUUUGUACGGAACGAAAAGCCCCGGGUUAAUACCCUGGGGUCAUGACGGUACCGUAAGAAUAAGCACCGGCUAACUACGUGCCAGCAGCCGCCGUAA